rnacentral:rRNA from 1 species
GAGAGUUUGAUUCUGGCUCAGGAUGAACGCUGGCGGCGUGCUUAACACAUGCAAGUCGAGCGAAGCAUUAAAACAGAUUUCUUCGGAAUGAAGUUUUGAUGACUGAGCGGCGGACGGGUGAGUAACGCGUGGGUGACCUGCCUCAUACAGGGGGAUAACAGACAGAAAUGUCUGCUAAUACCGCAUAAGCGCACAGUGCUGCAUGGCACAGUGUGAAAAACUCCGGUGGUAUGAGAUGGACCCGCGUCUGAUUAGCUAGUUGGUAAGGUAACGGCUUACCAAGGCGACGAUCAGUAGCCGGCCUGAGAGGGUGAACGGCCACAUUGGGACUGAGACACGGCCCAAACUCCUACGGGAGGCAGCAGUGGGGAAUAUUGCACAAUGGGGGAAACCCUGAUGCAGCGACGCCGCGUGAAGGAAGAAGUAUUUCGGUAUGUAAACUUCUAUCAGCAGGGAAGAAAAUGACGGUACCUGACUAAGAAGCCCCGGCUAACUACG